ACAAGAAGAAGGAAUACCACUUCAAAGCGGUAUUAACCAGUCAAAUGCACUUCAGUGAAAUUUGAUUAGAUCUCUUUCUAUUUUUUGAUGUACGUGGGGUUGGGAGGGCAUGUAGUUUGUUAAUCAGUAUUUUGUUUACAAAAAAAUAUAUAUUAAAGACUCUGCAACUAAAACUUCCCAAUGAAAGAGCGGGAAUGUUCUCUCUCCAAUUCUAAAAGUCUCUUGCCUUUUAGCAGUCCUUCCUCCAACUCCUGAGCUUCCUUAUCUUCGCUGGCCCAGCAGCAGCAGUCCUGCAUAUCCUACCUUGCAAGGGCACUCAGGAGUAAGUCCAUUGGGAUUUGGCUGAGUUUUGGUUCUUACGAGAGUGUCCUCAUCCCUCACUGAUGAGAGGGAUUCCCCUUUCUUAAAGCAGAGAGCAAAGAAAUAAAACCCUUCCCCUUGUUUACCUGAACAACUUUAAAUGCUCUUUCCCACUAAGAGUGGUUUUUUGUCCCUGCUUUUUGGCCUCCUUGGAGGUGCAGAUGCGCAGCUCCUCUCCAGUCAGAGAGGUUUUGAACUGUUUUUUUGUUGUUGUUGCUUGCUUAUGGGAUGCAGGAUCUGCCUUUCCACAGUGUUGAUAAAAUAAAAUAACACACCCAAAUACCUCUGUUACUUAGAACGAUCUUUCCCAUAAAAAUAAAUCAUCCUUCUAUCGCUGCAUAACUCCUAAUCACAGAAUAGUAGGACAACAGAACAACUGCAAGUGAAAUGGUAACAAACAAACGGUGCCACUGAGAGGAUCAUUAAUCUUCUGUGUUUUACAUCCUGUAUUGUUUUUAAGAUUGUUGCUGGGUCAGGUGUUAGUACUUUGGCUCGUUGCUGGAGUCAUUACCUUUCUUGUGAGCAUGCAGAAGGAAAAAGCCUAAAAGAGAUGGAACCUGGAUGGACAAAAGUCAUGUGUGGUGAAAGCUUGUGACAGGCUUUAGGCAACAGAUUCCUUUAAGAUUUGUAGCAAUUAGGCACUGACACCUGAGUUUGUACUGAAAAUGACAUCUGAUGGAAAAUUGCAAACAAGAUUGUUGACCAAAGUGCGGAAAAACUGUGUUAUGGCAGUAUAUCAUGGAAGCUAAGAGGGUGGGAGUGGUGAUGUGAAGGCCGUGGCUUAUUAUCUAAACAUGUAGAAGGGGUCUGGAAGAGCAAAAGACAUCCUAAAUAUAGGAAAAAUAGGCUUCACUCAAGUUACAAACAAGCCAUUAAGUUGCACAAUUGUCAGGAGUAUUUCUAUCACUCAGAGUCAGUGUCAAGAAUAAUGCAGGGUGGUGGCAGUUUUUGUGCUUAUUUACAGCUUAAAGCUUUUCCAAAAAAACAUAUCAAACAUUGUUGUCAAAAGCAUCUGUUACUACAUUACUGAUUUGAUAGCAACUAAAACUAUGCUAUAUACAUUACAACACACCACGUGACCGCAGAAUCAAAGCAGUACUUCAGCUGGAAGCUAAUCAUUUGUUUUUAAAAGGUUCUAUGAAGAGCGCCAGGAAUGUAGAACUGGUAGAGAAGUAGGCAAAGGGACACUCACUCCUCUUGAUUGGAGUGCACACCUAGGUUAGCACACAGUGACUACAAAACUGCAGCUUGAGCCAAGGCUUGGAUUGACCUUGUAGGAAAAGAUACAGAGAGCAGAUUCCAAUUGUUUUUCUAAGUGAAGAUUUUUACAGGAUUUUUAACAACUCUCAUUGCAUUUGUUCUUUGACCUAAGUAUAUACUCCAAACUAUUUAAACGAAGCAGAUUCUCAGAAUGUCAAAUGAAGGGGCAUGUUGUCUUCCUUCUCCCAUAAGAAAAGAGUGAAAAAGCAGAAAUAUAUUUUUUGUUACUUGCUUUCUUACAUAGCAGGACUGCAGCUCCUAGUCCACAGAUGAAGUCUGCUUUUAUGUUCAGCAAGGUGUAGGGAAACUGGCCUAGACUGACUGACAAGCAUCAGAAGAGCCGUAUGGAGAGGGUGAGAUUAUUCGAUGCCCCAUCUUUGUUUUCAUAUUCAGAGGGCAAACAAAAAUGCUUGAAAGGCCUUUGGAGCUCAGGGAAAAGCUACAUAGUCUCAUCACAAUCACAGAAAAGCCCUUGCACGUGGGUUUAUUAUUUUCUGAACUUUUCUCUUGUACUUCACAAACUCUUGUGCUGUGCUUAUUUGGAAAACAUACAGCCCAAGCCUCUGUCAGGACAGAGGCAGGACAGAAGUGCACAGGAAAGCUUGUGCACUUCAGAAUGCCCUUUGGCCUAAGGGAAGGUGCAUUAAGUUGAGAGCCAGGAGGUUAUGAGUUUCAUACCUCAGAUGCGCUCCAAAACUUUGUUGAUAGAAAUCUGCUUUUGUCAACAUAGCCCUGGGGGUGCCUACAGACAAUACCUCCAAACUGAAAAAAUUCCAAGUUUCUGUUUGUGGAAUAGCCUCACCUGCCUGCACCAAGCGUGAUGUCAGCUUACCACAGCCUCUGGGGAUGGGAAAAAAUCUGCACCUCAGCCAGCUACAGCCAUCCUCCAGCACCAAUGCUAGCCCACAUUUAAACUGACUGGGAACCCAUCUUCCUCUUUAAAUUGUAUUUUUCUUUAAGCAUGCCGUCAUGACGGGUGCUUGAAAAUGUGGAAAUGGAUGUGACACGGAGCCCCAAGUGUGUGCCUCCUGCUCCCACCUGCAGCAGGGCUGUGCCCUCAGCCUCCUCAAACCCUAACCAGGGGAAAAAUGCAUGGGAGCAUCUUCAGAGAAAUCUCUGUAAUUGCAGCACACGUGAAAAGAGCGCUACGAGCAAGACAGCGCAGGGCCAAAGCUAAUGAUGCCUCCAAGGCUUGCAACUGCGCUGUCUUAAAUAUUCCAUGCUGCAGGGCUUCUGUUGUCUCCUGCCCUUUCUCCUCUUGUGUGUGCCUCCAUGCUCCUGGAUGUCCUUGCUGCUGCAGGUUACUCUGGGAUGUGUUCUGUGAGGCUCUCAUUUAUCUGGAAAGCUUGUCCCUUUAUCUCAGCCAGGAUCUCUGGUACACACUCACACACUGUCCUUGUGGUUCACUGUUCCUGAGCUGUUCCUUCACUUCUGUCUGCCUCUCUCAGCACUUCAAGUUCAGUAAAAUGCUAAAAUCAUAACAUGGCCUCGAAAAGCACUGAAAUUUGCUUUUUCUGCCCUCUGCUCUGCUGCAGUUGGGAAACAUAGGGCAACAAAGCACUGUCUACAAAGAGGUACAGCAUUAUUUUCUGCAGGCACUCACUGCACAGACCUGCCUGUGCCUCCUAGCCAAAGAGCGCUUUGCUGACUUACCAUGCAGGCAGGCAGACCAGUUUGCAGGCAGCCUUCCCUCUGCGCUACUUGUGUGAAAUGCCAAAGGAGAAGUGUUGGGAGUUAGCAACAAUUACGAUGAAAGCUAAGAGAAAUAGAUAGGUAAGCAUCCUGGCUCUUUUUCAUUGGCAUCCCGUAGCAUGUUGUAAGGGCACACCAUCUGCAGUUGCUUUAGAACUCUUGGCAAUGAGCAAGCAUUCAAACAGAGAAACAUUUCUGGAGCUGGUGAUCAGGUACUGCAAAGGGUGACAAGACCAAACGUGGUAUGGACUGCUAGGGGCAGCAAAGGACAGGAGGCAGUUGUACCUAUGGGAAACAUGAUUUCUGACAACAAACAGAAAUCCUACAAAGCUGCUUGACCACCAGACCGAGCUCACGUGAUGGAGAUAGUAGAGUCCUGGAAUGGUUCGGGUUGGAAGGGACCUCAAAGCCCAUUCCCAUCAGACCCCCUGCCAUGGGCAGUUUGCCAGACUGUGCAUCCAAACCACCAGCCCUUCAGAGCCCAGAACUGGCCAGCAGAGGGUGAGAUGAAGCUGCCAGGCCCCAGGAAUCACGCGGUGUCUCCUGCAGCUGGAGAUGUGCCAUACUGGCACUGGCCUGGCAAACCAUACGCUCUGCUGCCUGCUAUGAGUCACCAUUAUCGUCAGCAAAAUCCUGCUGUAACCCCUUUGUCUGAUCUUUUCUAUGGUCUUGUGAUGAUCGUUCUCUGUGCUUCGCAGCUUUUAUUGCUACAACCUUGUUAGUUCUUUUUCAUAGGCCUAAAGGAUUCUUUGUCCCAUAAGACACCACGUGACCUAAGAGGAUGCCCAGAGCUGUUCUUACCAGAAGUAGGAAUGAAAUCCAGGCUGUAAUAUGACAGCUUUAAUUUCCAUCUAUUAAUUAUGAACACAAAUAAAAUUACAACAGUGAUUGUUAACAGUGCAAACUGGAAUGUAAAAAGAGACCAUGCAUAUUUCUCCUUAUCCUUUGCUCACCCUGCCCCAUUAUUAUUUUUCC